UGGCGGGACGGGGUGGAGUAACGCGUGGGUAACCUGCCUCAUACAGGGGGAUAACAGUUAGAAAUGACUGCUAAUACCGCAUAAGACCACAGCACCGCAUGGUGCAGGGGUAAAAACUCCGGUGGUAUGAGAUGGACCCGCGUCUGAUUAGGUAGUUGGUGGGGUAACGGCUUACCAAACCGACGAUCAGUAGCCGACCUGAGAGGGUGACCGGCCACAUUGGGACUGAGACACGGCCCAA
rnacentral:rRNA from 1 species